rnacentral:rRNA from 1 species
CAGCCGCCACGGUAAUACGAAGGGUGCAAGCGUUAAUCGGAAUUACUGGGCGUAAAGCGUGCGUAGGCGGUUUGUUAAGUCUGCUGUGAAAUCCCCGGGCUCAACCUGGGAAUGGCAGUGGAUACUGGCUCGCUAGAGUGUGUCAGAGGAUGGUGGAAUUCCCGGUGUAGCGGUGAAAUGCGUAGAGAUCGGGAGGAACAUCAGUGGCGAAGGCGGCCAUCUGGGACAACACUGACGCUGAGGCACGAAAGCGUGGGGAGCAAACAGGAUUAGAUACCCCUGUAGUCCCUGUCUCUUAUAA